CCUACGGGUGACUGCAGUGAGGAAUAUUGGUCAAUGGGCGAGAGCCUGAACCAGCCAAGUCGCGUGAGGGAGUACUGCCCUAUGGGUUGUAAACCUCUUUUGUCGGGGAGCAAAAGCCGGACGUGUCCGGCUGUGAGAGUACCCGAAGAAAAAGCAUCGGCUAACUCCGUGCCAGCAGCCGCGGUAAUACGGAGGAUGCGAGCGUUAUCCGGAUUUAUUGGGUUUAAAGGGUGCGCAGGCGGAUUUUUAAGUCAGCGGUAAAAUCGUGGGGCUCAACCCCAUCCAGCCGUUGAAACUGGGGAUCUAGAGUGUGCGAGAGGUAUGCGGAAUGCGUGGUGUAGCGGUGAAAUGCAUAGAUAUCACGCAGAACCCCGAUUGCGAAGGCAGCAUACCGGUGCACAACUGACGCUCAGGCACGAAAGCGUGGGUAUCGAACAGGAUUAGAUACCCCUGUAGUC
rnacentral:rRNA from 1 species